UUUACUUACUACCUAGUACGUACUCCCGACGUUUCAGUUUAUAGAUUCUGAUCUUGGUGAACAGACUCUCUAUAAGUUCAUAAUCGCGUUUGUGAAUAUUUACGAAUUUUUGUGUCAUUUCCUUUAGUCAUUUUAUGGUGUAGCGAUCUGCCAAAAAUGAAGUGCAACUUUUUACAAUUUUUUAAAAUUUAUUUAAUAUUCGUGUUGAUUUACUACAAGCCUGCUUACGGAAGACCUAUUCCUACCAAGGGCGACGAUUAUUACGAGUACAUUCGACUGGGGAUGAGGCAAGUAAGGGAGGAGUUGGCGCUAAUGAAUAAGAAGUUAGAAGCGUUAGAUGCGCGAGAUAAUAAAAUGUUGGAAGCGUUAAUGGAUAAUAAGAAGUUGGAAGCGUUACGGGUGCAAAGUGAUAAUUUAUACUGACGGAUUGUGUACGGAAAUGGUGAGGUAACAAUUUUUUCAAAGUUGAUAAUAUAGCCUGCUAUCUUUCGAGUGUCCAAGAAUUGGGGACUUGAAUAAAAGAAAAACUAAAAUAAAACAAUCUGCUCUGAAGUUUCAUCCCUCUCAACUAGAAGUUUUUCCAAAGUGUGAUAGUCAUUGGUAUUUGACAACCCUCGCCGUUUAUUAGAUUGCAAGUAAUAUGUACAAAUUUUGCUAAAAUCAAAUUUCCGAAAGCGAUUCUAUCAAAAUUCAGAAGCUUUAUACCCUUUUCCCUUUGAUACAUAAUUAUUUCGUUGAAAUAAGAAGAAGGCUUCAUUGGACUACUUGAAUUUUUUUGAAAAAAUUUUAUCAGAAACUAAAAGAACAUGAAAAAAAAUUGAAAAUUUGUCCAUUAGAACUUGCGUGGUGAUUUUUUUAAAAAUUGCCUUUCUUUACCAUGGCAUACAUCGAGAAGCGCUACUUUCAAAAAAUGAUUACGCGAGUUAUUAUGAACCAAUUUUUAUUUUUUGUACUUACUUAAAAUUUUUAUCUUUUACUUUGCAGGAACUUUCAAUUUUUGACAAAAAAUUUUCAAAAAAGGAAAUUCCUAACUUGUUUAUUGUUCACUGAAGUUUACACUCCGUGUUGAAAAAAAUUGAAUAAUCAAUGAAAAAUGGGCGUUUUGAGUGGUUAUUUCAAUGGAAUAUGAGAAAAUUGCUUUCAUUUUGCAUUGAAACAAUAACUCAAACCCUUAUCGUACUUGAUUUUACCAUAUUAACGUGGGGACAUAUUUCCCAUUUUUGGCUUAUAAAACCCCCUAUUCUUGGAACUGCUGUGAAUAGUUACAGUUGAAACUUAUUAGUUUUUUUUUGAAGAUUUCUAUGAUUUUAAUUCCAGCGGACAUCUGGAAAGAAGAAUAAAUAAGCAGGAGUUGGAGGUAGCAAAAAAACAGAUACCUACUCAAAUUAACUAAAGAACAAUUCGAGAAAAUGCCUCCAGUAAACAUUACUGUCCCAAAUGUGUAUUUUGCUGAUUAUCCGUUUGAUUGGAGACGAGGGACUUCUUUUCAGGGGACCCAACCUACAUUAUUUCUUGAAAAUUGGUAAAAUCCAAUCGAUACGUAGUAAUUCCCAUUAGUCACAACUAUAGUUCGUCAGAUAAUUUUUGGAAGUACAAUUUCCAGGAGAUUAAUUUCACAAAUAAUGGAAUUAGAUGGAAGGAGUAUACUAAAGAAUUAACCUUGGACAACAGAUGCCAUUGAUAUCUAGAUUUGGAAAUGAAUUUAUGAUAAUAGGUAUUGCUGCUUAUGACGUACCUUUCGAAAUUUCUUUUUGUUUGUUAAAGGGAUACCUACAGUUGGAUAAACGUUUUUUAUACCUACUAUCUAGUAUAUCAUAAGAACCUAUGUAAAUAAAUAAAAAAAUACUUACGUCUAUUAA